rnacentral:rRNA from 1 species
GAAAGCAGGGGAUCGCAAGACCUUGCGCGAUUGGAGCGGCUGAUGUCAGAUUAGGUAGUUGGUGGGGUAAAGGCCCACCAAGCCGACGAUCUGUAGCUGGUUUGAGAGAACGACCAGCCACACUGGGACUGAGGCACGGCCCAGACUCCUACGGGAGGCAGCAGUGGGGAAUUUUGGACAAUGGGCGAAAGCCUGAUCCAGCAAUGCCGCGUGCAGGAAGAAGGCCUUCGGGUUGUAAACUGCUUUUGUACGGAACGAAAUAGCCUUGGUUAAUACCCGGGGUUGAUGACGGUACCGUAAGAAUAAGCACCGGCUAACUACGUGCCAGCAGCCGCGGUAAUACGUAGGGUGCAAGCGUUAAUCGGAAUUACUGGGCGUAAAGCGUGCGCAGGCGGUUAUAUAAGACAGUUGUGAAAUCCCCGGGCUUAACCUGGGAAUUGCAUCUGUGACUGUAUAGCUAGAGUACGGUAGAGGGGGAUGGAAUUCCGCGUGUAGCAGUGAAAUGCGUAGAUAUGCGGAGGAACACCGAUGGCGAAGGCAAUCCCCUGGACCUGUACUGACGCUCAUGCACGAAAGCGUGGGGAGCAAACAGGAUUAGAUACCCUGGUAGUCCACGCCCUAAACGAUGUCAACUGGUUGUUGGGUGCAUUAGUACUCAGUACGGAAGCUAACGCCGUAAGUUGACCGCCU